rnacentral:rRNA from 1 species
GGAUGCGAUCAUACCAGCACUAAAGCACCGGAUCCCAUCAGAACUCCGAAGUUAAGCGUGCUUGGGAGAGAGUAGUACUAGGAUGGGUGACCUCCUGGGAAGUCCUCGUGUUGCAUUCCG